UUGGUGAGGUAACGGCUCACCAAGCCGAAGACGGGUAGCGGGUGUGAGAGCAUGACCCGCCGCAUCGGGACUGAGACACUGCCCGGACUCCUACGGGAGGCUGCAGCGACGAAUCUUCCGCAAUGGGCGCAAGCCUGACGGAGCAAUGCCGCGUGUGGGAUGAAGCAUCUUCGAUGUGUAAACCACUGUCAGAAUCUAGGAACACUGACCAGAUUCAGAGGAAGGACCGGCUAACCUCGUGCCAGCAGCCGCGGUAAGACGAGGGGUCCGAGCGUUAAUCAGAAUCACUGGGCUUAAAGCGUGCGCAGGCGGUCUGGCAAGCAUCUUGUGAAAUCCCUCGGCUCAACCGGGGAACUGCAGGGUGAACUGCCAGACUUGAGGCAGGUAGGGGCUGAUGGAACCAUGAGUGGAGCGGUGAAAUGCGUAGAUAUCGACAGGAAUGCCGAAGGCGA
rnacentral:rRNA from 1 species